GUGCACCACUCACUAUUGUCCCAGUAAAACACGUGUUUGGCCAACAUUUGUUCCGCGGUGGAGAACACCUCGAUGACGUCACACAGGAGGAAGAGCAAAACAAGAUGGCGUCUGGCUAAGAAUACGUUGUUUUGGUUCUUAUGGUUUCUUGGUCUUAAUUACAACAUGCAUGUGCACAUGUGUGUCGUUUAACAGAGUAAACGUCGUUAUUAAUUGUUUGUAUGCGGAUACAUUAGUCUGUGUGCACUUUGACGUGCUAGCCUAGCCUGCUGGUUAGCUUAGCUUGUUAGCUGCUAACAAAGAGAGGCGGAAGUGAUCGACACAUCAAAGCAGAGAUCCACUACGUCUGUGAAGAACAUCUUCACCCUGAGCGACAGAAGUAGAGCUUCAGGAUGCCGAGGGAGGAGCCACAUUAAGAAGGAAGAGGAAUACCCACUGAUCCCCUAUUUUAAAAAGGAAGAGGAGGACCCACUGACACCACAUUUUAAAGAGGAAACGGUGGAUCCACUGACCCUUCACAUUAAAGAGGAAGAGGAGGAACAUAGCAUCAGUCAGCAGGGAGAGCAUCUUGAAAGACUGGAGGAGGUUGAUGUCACCAAGAUGCCAGUGACUGGUGUCCCUGUGAAGAGUGAAGAUGAUGAGGUCAAAGGUGAAAGUGAGGAGAGGGGAGGGGCGGAGCCUCCAAGCAGCAACUCAACACAACACAUGACAACAGAAGCUGAUGGAGACCACUGUGGAGGAUCACAAGCAGACAAGCUCUUAGCUCCACUAUCAGAUAGUGAGGACACAACGUCACACUCCUGACACUGAUGAUGAAGACUCUAAAGAUGAUAAGACAUGUCACACUGACAACACUCACUUCAAAUGUUCUCACUGUGACAAAACUUUUAAAUACCAUGGUUAUCUGAAAGUACACAUGAGAACAAACUGGAGAAAAAACUUUUAUCUGUUGAAUCUGCGGUAAAGGUUUUGUAGAAAGUCAGAAUUUGAAAAAACACACAAUAUUACACACUGGAGAAAACCCCUUUUCCUGUUCAAUCUAUGGUAAAGGUUUUACUCACAGUCAGAGAAAGUACACAUGAGAAUACACACUGGUGAAAAACCUUUUUCCUGUUCAACCUGUGGUAAAGGUUUUACACAAAGUCAGAGUUUGAAAGAACACAUGAAAAUACACAGUGGUGAAAAACCUUUUUCUUGUUCAAUUUGUUGUAAAUAAUUUUUAAAUCAACAGUCUGUAAAAGUACACAUGAGCACGCACACUGGUGAAAAGCCGUUUUCCUGUUCAACCUGUGGUAAAGGGUUUAUAGAAAGUCAGAAUUUGAAAAGACACAAGAGAACACACACUGGUGAACAAUCACAUUCCGGUUCAAUCUGCAACAGAAGCUUUUGUGACCGAUCAAACCUUGUAGCACACGAGAACACUCCCAGGAGAGAAAGUGUGGAGUUGCAGUGUGCGUGGUGAACGAUUCUCUUAUAAGUAUCAGUGUAAGAAACACAAGUGUGCUGGUGAGAACAGUAGCAGCAAAUGAAACUGCAAGAUUUGAAAUAAACUGUCAAGACUU